rnacentral:rRNA from 1 species
AAUGAACGUUGGCGGCGUGGAUUAGGCAUGCAAGUCGAGCGGCAGCAGGCCCAGCAAUGGGCGCUGGCGAGCGGCGAAAGGGAGAGUAACGCGUGGGUACGUACCCCUGGGAUCAGGAUAGCGGCGGGAAACUGCCGGUAAUACUGAAUAACAUCUCAGGAUCAAAGGUGUGAUUCCGCCUGGGGAUCGGCCCGCGUCCUAUCAGCUUGUUGGCGAGGUAAUGGCUCACCAAGGCUAUGACGGGUACUGGGUGUGAGAGCACGACCCAGCUCACUGGGACUGAGAUACUGCCCAGACACCUACGGGUGGCAG